rnacentral:lncRNA from 1 species
UUUUUCUUUUGGUCAUAUGCAUGUGGAUUUACUUUUGAAAGUUACCUUUACUCCACUGUUUUGGUGUAAUUGUCAAUCAGGGUACACUGACCUCCUCUAGAGAUAAGUGUCAUUCACUUUAGGCCAUCUGAACAUCUCAACUUUGAAUCUUGAGUUAAUGGACAGAAGCAUAAAAAUCACAACCUUGUUACUUGUCAUCCACAGCAUGUUGAUAAAACUAUUACUCACUCCUGCCAUCCAGCACCCCUGAGCUGUACCUGUUCCCACUCUGCCAGACGUGGUUCCCUUCAGUCCUUUUAAUAAUUAUGGUACCAUCUCACACCCUUCUGAUAAAUUCCCUUCUAGUUAAAUUACUCAGGCUUUGUCUAUAUUGUUUGCAACUAAAGAAAACCAAUUUAUGCAUGUGCAUCAAGUUAGUGAGAUGGUAGAUGAUUUUAAGAGUAAUUAGCUCCAUAAUAUGCCUCUGCUUCCCUAGUAGUACAAACAUUAUUGUAUUAUUUAGAUUCAAGUUCUGAAAGAGCUGUUUAAGUGGAAGUUGAUACUUUGUGACACUGCAACAAGAGGUAAAAGAUGUAGUUACGAAGCAACCUCAAGCAACACCUGUAAUCUUCUGUAUAUGGAGAAAGUGAUGGAUUAAUGAGGCAGGUCUGGUGUUCCUAAAUCCUGAAGGAUUUAAAACUGGGAUUACAAACUGAAAUGUUGUUAGUGAAUGAGCACUGAUGCAAAUGAGUGAGUCAUCCAAUAUAUGCUUACUUCCGUGAAGAAAUAAUGCCCAUUUCUCUUCAGCUUUUCCUGUCUGUCUUUUCAGUUUCUACCUUGGAUAGAGACAUGUGCAGAGACAUAUUGCUGGACUCUAAGGAAAACACCAGUGACAGUUUAGUGAUGAAUGGCAACUGAAACUCACCCACUUUUCUAGGGAAACAAUGGGAUCAUAAAGACUCAAGAAACUGGAGAAUAUAUGCCCUUUACAUGAAGCAACAUUCCUGAUUUUUUUUUUUUUAAAGUGGUGAGAAUUAUUACUUUUCUUAAAUGUACAAUAAUCUGUUUUUAUAUUUUGGCAACUAAUCUAAUUUAAAAACUAAAACAAAAACAAAAACAAAAAAACAGUGCGUCAGGCCAGGAAAACAAGUAAGCAUUCUGUUCCCAAACAAUACUAGAAGCUGGGUUGUGAUAAUGAGUCUGGAUUGGAGGCAUGUAAAACAUUUACUGACCACAACACUUAAGCAAACAAAAUAUUUUUACAAAGUAAAAUCAUAAGCUAGAACAAGCCAAGCCAGUCAUGGAAUAAAUCUCUGGGGGUAGCCUGGUGGAGCCUCCAGGGCCCAGCAAGUGAUGAACAGUAUGCAGAGAGAGGAACACUCUUCUAGUGCUGGCAGCUCUGGAGGGCAUUUUGAUGCACUUUGCUAGGCCAAAUAAGUGAAUCAUGUCUGCGUCAGGAAGUGGUUUGAUUACCUCAUUAUGUAUACAUUACAAAUAAUUUUUUUUUCUUUAUAGGGCCACACCUGCAGCAUAUGGAGGUUCGUUAACCACUGAGACACGACGGGAACUCCAGAAAUCAAAAAUUUUAAAGUAAAUAUUGAUAUUCCAAAUUUAUGAACUUAUUCCUCCCAGGGCUUGGAGUGCUUGAAGCUAAAAGAAAAGAAUGCUGUAUCCAUGUCAAGUUGUAUUUAGACUACUGCAUUUUACAACAUGGGUUACCUGGAAAAAUGAACCAUUGUUUUGCCACUGAGCAUCUUCAAAGAAGAGAAUAAGAUUGACAUCACUGUUCACAUCCAUUAGUCAAACUACAGUUGCUUUGGACAGGUAGUUUCCAGAAUGCAUCAGUCUCAUUUACACCCAACAGAAGGAACAUACAGUGUGCCUUUUUUUUUUUUUUUUUUGCUGUGACAUGAGGAUCCCAGAUACUAAGGCAGAAAGUGGUUUUUGACACAAAAUGCUUUUAGGAAAAAGACUGGAAGUAGGAGGUGAAAUGAAGAGUAAAUUUUCUGUAUGCUAAUGAUUAUAGAGAAAAAAGGAACAAUCCAAUUGUACUUAGGGGCUAGACCAAAAUAAUUGAGCAAACAAAAUAAUACAGCAGGAAAUCAACGGAUCUGAUAAACAGUGAAACAGUGAUUUUCCCCAAAGAAAUGCCACAUAGCUCUAAGUGUGUCUAAGAAUGUAGAAGAUUUUUCUAAUUCUUGGAAGUUUUUGUUCUAAUAAAUGCCACUAUACUAUUUACCAAUUUUAAGUUGUUCAUUUCUUGUACCCCAGGCAUUCUGC